GGGAAGCCAAGCAAGUCAUCAAGACAAGAUUUUAUGGUCUUCCCUAUGAUCUCAAGCACACCACUCUGAACAGCAGUUACUGACACGUCAAUGAGGAAAAAGAAUAGUGGCGGCAUUGGUGGUCGCACCAUAUAUUCCGUAGGAGCAACAAAUUCUACACUCCCCAUAGAAAGCUCAGGCCUUUGGUCUAUAUCCAACCUCCUGCCA
rnacentral:misc_RNA from 1 species